ACGAACGCUGGCGGCGUGCUUAACACAUGCAAGUCGUACGGAAAGGCCCUGCUUUUGUGGGGUGCUCGAGUGGCGAACGGGUGAGUAACACGUGAGUAACCUGCCCUUGACUUUGGGAUAACUUCAGGAAACUGGGGCUAAUACCGGAUAGGAGCUCCUGCUGCUUGGUGGGGGUUGGAAAGUUUCGGCGGUUGGGGAUGGACUCGCGGCUUAUCAGCUUGUUGGUGGGGUAGUGGCUUACCAAGGCUUUGACGGGUAGCCGGCCUGAGAGGGUGACCGGCCACAUUGGGACUGAGAUACGGCCCAGACUCCUACGGGAGGCAGCAGUGGGGAAUAUUGCACAAUGGGCGGAAGCCUGAUGCAGCAACGCCGCGUGCGGGAUGACGGCCUUCGGGUUGUAAACCGCUUUCGCCUGUGACGAAGCGUGAGUGACGGUAAUGGGUAAAGAAGCACCGGCUAACUACGUG
rnacentral:rRNA from 1 species